rnacentral:rRNA from 1 species
CCUACGGGGGGCAGCAGUGAGGAAUAUUGGUCAAUGGCCGGAAGGCUGAACCAGCCAUGCCGCGUGAAGGUCAGUGCCCUAUGGGCGUUAAACUUCUUUUGUGCGGGAGCAAUAAUGGUCACGUGUGGCCAGACGAGAGUACCGUACGAAUAAGCAUCGGCUAACUCCGUGCCAGCAGCCGCGGUAAUACGGGGGAUGCCAGCGUUAUCCGGAUUUAUUGGGUUUAAAGGGUGCGUAGGCUGUGAGGUAAGUCAGCGGUGAAAUGCCCCCGCUCAACGGGGUGAAGUGCCAUUGAUACUGCCUGGCUGGAAUGCGGAUGCCGUGGGAGGAAUGUGUGGUGUAGCGGUGAAAUGCAUAGAUAUCACACAGAACACCGAUUGCGAAGGCAUCUCACGAAGCCGCGAUUGACGCUGAUGCACGAAAGCGUGGGUAUCAAACAGGAUUAGAUACCCCGGUAGUC